GUGAGGAAUCUUGCGCAAUGGGGGAAACCCUGACGCAGCAACGCCGCGUGAGUGAGGAAGGUCUUCGGAUCGUAAAGCUCUGUCAGAUGGAAAGAACCGCAUGGGGGUGAAUAAUCCCCAUGUCUGACGGUACCAUCAGAGGAAGCACCGGCUAACUCCGUGCCAGCAGCCGCGGUAAUACGGGGGGUGCAAGCGUUGUUCGGAAUUAUUGGGCGUAAAGAGCGUGUAGGCGGCCGGAUGUGUCAGAUGUGAAAGCCCUGGGCUUAACCCAGGAAGUGCAUUUGAAACUGUCCGGCUUGAGUAGGGGAGAGGGAAGUGGAAUUCCUGGUGUAGAGGUGAAAUUCGUAGAUAUCAGGAGGAACACCGGUGGCGAAGGCGACUUCCUGGCCCUAUACUGACGCUGAGACGCGAAAGCGUGGGUAGCAAACAGGAUUAGAAACCCUUGUAGUCC
rnacentral:rRNA from 1 species